rnacentral:rRNA from 1 species
GAUGAACGCUGGCGGCAGGCCUAACACAUGCAAGUCGAGCGGACGGACGAGAAGCUUUCUUCUCUGCUGUUGGCGGCGGGCGGGUGAGUAACACGUGGAUAACCUACCUAUAAGACUGGGAUAACUUCGGGAGACCGGAUCUAAUACCGGAUCAUAUGUUGAACCGCAGGGUUCAUAAGUGCUAGACGGUUUUGCUGACACUUAGAGAUGGUUCCGCGUUGCAUUAGCUAGUUGGUAAGGUAAAGGCUUACCAAGGCAACGAUGCGUAGCCGACCUGAGAGGAUGAUCGGCCACACUGGAACUGAGACACGGUCCAGACUCCUACGGGAGGCAGCAGUAGGGAAUCUUCGGCAAUGGGCGAAAGCCUGACGGAGCAACGCCGCGUGAGUGAAGAAGGUCUUCGGAUCGUAAAGCUCUGUUAUUAGGGAAGAACAUCUGUGUGAGUAACCCUGGCUGUUUUGACGGUACCAAAAGAGUAAGCCCCGGCUAACUACGUG